rnacentral:tRNA from 1 species
GGAGAAGUACUCAAGUGGCCGAAGAGGCCUCCCUGCUAAGGAGGUAGACCGGGCUUUUCCGGUGCGAGAGUUCAAAUCUCUCCUUCUCCGCCA